UACAGAGGGUGCAAGCGUUGUUCGGAAUUAUUGGGCGUAAAGCGCACGUAGGCGGCUUAGCAAGUCGGAAGUGAAAUCCCUCGGCUCAACCAAGGAAGUGCUUUCGAAACUGCUGAGCUUGAGUACUUAAGAGGAUCGCGGAAUUCCCGGUGUAGAGGUGAAAAUUCGUAGAUAUCGGGAGGAAUACCAGUGGCGAAGGCGGCGAUCUGGGAAGAUACUGACGCUGAGGUGCGAAAGCGUGGGGAGCAAACAGG
rnacentral:rRNA from 1 species